AUGCUUUGAAAAGCUGAGUAAAUAUUUAAUCAUGGAAGCUUUUUAUCUAAAUUUCAUGGUCAACAUAGUUUUAAUUCCCAGGAGCACCUUCAUUUACAAUAUGUAAUAUUAUACAAUAUGUAAUAUGUAAUAGAUAAUGAAGUAAGAAAUAGCCUCAGGGAUCUUAUUAUACACUCAGGCUGCUUGCCCUUUCUCCAUUACAACAUAAUCCUGUACUACAGAGAUAUUAUAAAAUGUCCAAAAUUGCCUCUUUGUUUUCCAUAGAAAGUCAGUUAAGAUGACUUCAUAAAGCAUGCAGUCAGUUCUCCAUGAGCUGGUGACAAAGAGACAGAUUUAAUGGCACUCUUGGCACCCUAUACCAUUGAGGAGAUGAAGAACUUUAUUUCUUUUAGAUGUUCUGGCAAAUUCAUUUGUUUUGAAGACUUUGCUGGAUUUACAUCCCACUCUAUUGACUUCCAGCUCCCUUGGGCUCUAUUUAAGAAACAUAAGGGAGAAAAAUAUGAAAAAAAAAGCUGAGAAAGGGAAGAUCCAGAGAGGUGAGAGACUGACCCACUUGCAAGCCUCUCGGCACUGUCCUUUCUGGUGAGUGUAGGUCAUCUGAGGAAGUAUUGUGGGGAAGUGGGCUCUAAGCUGAAUCGAGGACCACGAAAUGCGGCUCAAUUCUAAGCAGCUCCAAGUCCUCUUCGAUAUUGAUCAUCAUGUCACAGUCCUGCCCUCUACCUUAACCAUUUGCCCCUCUGUGUCCAUGAUUUUCUGAGGAAUUAUAAGAGAACAAUUUUAAAUUCUACUUAAAUUUGAAAUAUGGCAUUCUUUUGAUUCAAAAGCAGUUGUUAUUGUUAAAAAAAAAAAAAGAAAGAAAGAAAGAAGAAAACAAACCUAAAGGUUGCUAAAUCCAGCGGUCGGUUCUCAGUCCUCAUCUUAUUGGACUGAGUGGCAGAAUUUGAUAGAGUGGGUCACUCCCUCCUGCUGCACAUAUUUUCUUCCCUUCACUUGCAUUCUGUCUUGUAGCUUUCGUUAGCCUGGGGUUCAUCCCUCGAAUGUCUUUAUUUUUAUAUCUACACACACUCGUUUAGUGAGCUCAUCUAGCCUUGUAGCUUUAACUAUCACUAAUUUAUUUCUCCAGCUCAGACUCCCCCCCUAAACUUGGACUCACAUUCACCUGCCUACUUAACCUUUCCUCUUAGACUUUAACAGGUAUUUCAACCUUUACAUGAUCCAAGCUGAGCUCCUAUUCCUCUACUCUAAACCUGCUCCUUCUGGAACCUUUCCCAUCGUAGUUAACAGCAACUCUAUCCUUCCAAUUGCAUAAGCUUCAUUCUGGUCUCCCCUUUUUCAAAUCCAACAUCAAAUCCAAGACAACUACUGUAGAUUUUACCUUCAAACAGAGAAAAAUCCCUGCAUGUCAGAUGGUGAUAUGUCAUAUUCAUUGCUAUAGCCGGAGUACCCAGAACAGUAUGUCUGAAACAGUGCUUAGAAAAUAUUUAUUGAAUAAGCGAAUGAUUUUGAGAUAAGUAAAAAUGAGAAUAUGUUUUAAAAUUUUAUUUGCUUUAAAAUCAAAAGUUAGAUAAGUCAAAGAGCGAAAUUAACAAUUAGGAAUGAAAGAAAUAGAUUUUUGCAUGACAGCGAAUUCGUUAUUUUAGAUCACUCUGUAAAUAUGGUUCCUGAGCUUGGCAACACAGUAGAAUCACCUGCAGAGUUUUGAGUGUCCCAAUGCCCAGGAAUUAAAUCAGAAUAUCUGGGGAGGGGCCCAGGCAUCAGCGUUUUUUCAAGCUCUCCAGGUGAUACCAAUGGGAGCCAAGCCUGAGAACCACUGCUCUGUAGAAAUCACUCUUAGAGUUAGUGUUUCCACACUAAUUAUUUGCUCUAAAUGUUUCAUAGUAGAAUCUCUUUUUGCCCCACUAACAAGCUAGUCUAAUAUUUCUCAUAAGGUUUUCAACCACUCAGCAUGCUGGUACUGUGUACAAAAGGUAGAGAAUGCAAGAAAAUCAACCUAAAACCAUUAGAACAAAUAAGUGUUCUGAAAGGCAGCUGAAUUAAAGUGAAUAUGCAAAGAGGGUUAAUUUUGUAUAUGCCAAUUAUCACCAAUUCAAGUAUACUGAGGAAAAACUGUUCUAUUCACAAAGAGAAUUACAAAUACUGAGGGAAAAGUACUUAAGAAAUAUUCAAGGCUUAAAGAAUUAUGAUACUUUAUAUGUGUUCAAAAGAAAAGUUUUGAAUAAAUUGAGACAUACCAUAUUCCUGGGUGGGGAU
rnacentral:lncRNA from 1 species